GCACUUACCUCAUUCACUUGUUGUUGCCGUAGGGGGUCUCUUUGUCCAACUCCUUCAUAUUGUUGUGCAUUCAAGGCUUGGUUGGCAAUUAAGAUCUUUGCAGCGACUGGAGUCUUGUGAACCAAAGCACCUCUCGCUGAAGCAUCAAGCAUUUGUCUCUCAAUUGGAAGGAGUCCUUCGUAAAAUAUUGAAUCAAGAGCUUGAUGUGAAAAUUAACUUAACACACAAAUUAAACCCUAUUUGUGACAAUUGUAGUAAUGAUGUAAGUAGGGAUCGUUCUAACCGGGGAUUAACUAGGGGUGCUAAUCUAAUACAAAUCGACUUAGAAACACAAAAACUAAACUUAAAGACUCUAAUUAGACUACUAAGAUUCAAAACAGAUUUGAAACACUCAAAUCUGCCCAAAACUGACUAAAACAAAUUAAUUGACUCAAACAGCAACUAAGACAAGAUUUGGACGAAUUUGACAAAACUUAUGACUCAAAAUACUUAAAAACACCAAAGAGGACAGAUUAUGAAGACUCAAACUUAACAAAAUAUGGGGGAAUUGUGUUUGGACGAAUUUGAACUAAAUGCACAGAUUGUAAAUUAAAACAGAUUGUGAACUAAAUGUGAUGAAUCAAUGGGUGAUGGAAUGGCUAAGGGGUUCUUCUCCACACAUGAAAUUUAUGCAACGUAAUCGAUUUCCAGUUAUCAAUUCAUUAAGUUAUGAACCUCGACACUCCAAGUUAAUUAGGUCCGCUUAAAUUAACUUUCAGAUUUCCCUAGAAUCAUUG
rnacentral:lncRNA from 1 species